UACGUAGGUGACAAGCGUUGUCCGGAUUUACUGGGCGUAAAGAGCGCGCAGGCGGUCGAUCAAGUCGAGUGUGAAAGCCCCCGGCUCAACUGGGGAGGGUCAUUCGAUACUGAUCGACUCGAAGGCAGGAGAGGGUAGUGGAAUUCCCGGUGUAGUGGUGAAAUGCGUAGAUAUCAGGAGGAACACCAAUUGCGAAGGCAGCUCGCUGGGACGUUACUGACGCUGAGACGCGAAAGCGUGGGGAGCAAACAGG
rnacentral:rRNA from 1 species